UACGUAGGGUGCGAGCGUUGUCCGGAAUUACUGGGCGUAAAGAGCUCGUAGGUGGUUUGUCGCGUUGUCCGUGAAAAACUCACAACUCAAUUGUGGGCGUGCGGGCGAUACGGGCAGACUUGAGUUCGGCAGGGGAGACUGGAAUUCCUGGUGUAGCGGUGAAAUGCGCAGAUAUCAGGAGGAACACCGGUGGCGAAGGCGGGUCUCUGGGCCGAUACUGACGCUGAGGAGCGAAAGCGUGGGGAGCGAACAGG
rnacentral:rRNA from 1 species